GAUGAACGCUGGCGGCGUGCCUAAUACAUGCAAGUCGAGCGAACGGACGAGAAGCUUGCUUCUCUGAUGUUAGCGGCGGACGGGUGAGUAACACGUGGAUAACCUACCUAUAAGACUGGGAUAACUUCGGGAAACCGGAGCUAAUACGGGCAAAUAUUUUGAACCGCAUGGUUCAAAAGUGAAAGACGGUCUUGCGGUAACUUAUAGAUGGAUCCGCGCUGCAUUAGCUAGUUGGUAAGGUAACGGCUUACCAAGGCAACGAUGCAUAGCCGACCUGAGAGGGUGAUCGGCCACACUGGAACUGAGACACGGUCCAGACUCCUACGGGAGGCAGCAGUAGGGAAUCUUCCGCAAUGGGCGAAAGCCUGACGGAGCAACGCCGCGUGAGUGAUGAAGGUCUUCGGAUCGUAAAACUCUGUUAUUAGGGAAGAACAUAUGUGUAAGUAACUGUGCACAUCUUGACGGUACCUAAUCAGAAAGCCACGGCUAACUACGUG
rnacentral:rRNA from 1 species